rnacentral:rRNA from 1 species
UAGGGAAUCUUCGGCAAUGGGGGCAACCCUGACCGAGCAACGCCGCGUGAGUGAAGAAGGUUUUCGGAUCGUAAAGCUCUGUUGUAAGUCAAGAACGGGUGUGAGAGUGGAAAGUUCACACUGUGACGGUAGCUUACCAGAAAGGGACGGCUAACUACGUGCCAGCAGCCGCGGUAAUACGUAGGUCCCGAGCGUUGUCCGGAUUUAUUGGGCGUAAGCGAGCGCAGGCGGUUUGAUAAGUCUG